UAGACCCGAAGCCAGGGCGAUCUACCCAUGAGCAGGGUGAAGCUGAGGUAACACUUAGUGGAGGCCCGCACCGGUAUGGGUUGAAAACCGUUCGGAUGACUUGUGGGUAGGGGUGAAAGGCCAAUCAAGCCUGGAGAUAGCUGGUUCUCCCCGAAAUCUAUUGAGGUAGAGCCUCGAGGCGUGUAAGCAGGGGGUAGAGCGACUGGAUGGGCGCGGGCUGGCGAAGCUGGUACCAACCCCAACCAAACUCCGAAUACCUGUUUUAUGGACCUCGGGAGGCAGUCGCUGAGCGAUAAUGUCCAGCGGCGAGAGGGAAAGAACCCAGAGCCACAGCUAAGGUCCCAGAGUGGCCGCUGAGUAUAGCGAAGGAUGUGUCCCUGCCGUGACAACUGGGAGGUUGGCUUAGAAGCAGCCAUUCCUUGAAAGAGUGCGUAAUAGCUCACCAGUCCAGCGGGGAUGCGCCGAGAAUGGUCGGGAUUAAGCGGCCCACCGAAGCUUGGCCUUCAUGCAUUGC
rnacentral:rRNA from 1 species